AGGUCUCCUUCCAGACUGCUGUAGCUUUGUUUUUUCGAUCUUUGCGAAAAGUCUUGCUGCUGCUCACUGUUUGGGUCUGUGCGGACCUUAUGAGCUGUAACACUCACCACGGAGGUCUGCAGCUUCACUCCUGAAGCCAGCCAGACCAUGAACCCACUGGGAGGAAGAAACUCCAGACACGUCCCAACAUCAGAAGGAACAAACUCCGGACACACCAUCUUUAAGAACUGUAACACUCAUUGGGAGGGUCCGAGGCUUCAUUCUUGAAAUCAGAGAGACCAAGAACCCACCAAUUCUGGACACACUAGUACCUGUGGUAUUUAGGUUGUAACUUCCUCAAGCAGUUCUUUCCACAUCAUGUAGCUCUGGUCCAUGCCAUGUGUGCCAAUGGUAACCAAACCUUUCAUCCUGACCAUCACUAACUGGAUUGGCGUCCCAGCCAAAAGCAACCAAUCUCUGUGGAGAAAAGAGAAGCCAACGUCCUCUGAGAAGGUACGAAAUAACAACACCUGAAGCUGGGAAAGGCUUCAAGAACUUAGGUUUUUAAGGAUUAGUGAUUUUACUUUCUCAGUUAUUUGUUAAUAUGUUGAAUUACAUUGGUUUUUAAAUGUUAAACUCUUGUUUUCUUGGAAUAAGUCUUAUUUGGUCACGGCGCAUUAACUUUUAUACAUAUAUCUGGAUUUUAUUUGCUAAUAUUUUGUUUAGAAUGUUGGCAUUUAUGUUCAUGGAGAUGGACUGACAUUAAUUUUCAUUUCUUGUAAAGUCUUUUGCAGGUUUUUUGUAUCAUGGUUAUAUUCAUAUCAUAAAAUGAAUUGGGAACCUCUGGUUUCAGCUCCAACAUGUAAAGAGCUUAGAAGUUGUCACUUCCACCCUUAUAAUAAGAAAAGCCUGAACAAACUGAAAAUCAAUGAUUUUUCUUGUACCCAUCAGAGAGCUGAAGUUGCAAGGUAGACCACCACUCUGAAAUUGGGAGAGACAGGCAAAUCCAGAGAAGUACAGCUAAUAUUUGCAUAUCUGGAGCAGAAGCCACUUGGAGCCAUAAACUGUUAGGAACACUUAAAUGGUAAUUUUGAUGGUAAUUUUGAUAAAUUGCUAGAGGCUGAGUGUGAACUAGCAUGAGACUGAGAAAUUUCCAGGGCCACCGUCUUAGUAGAGCCCUCAUAUUUUCAUGGAUUCUAUUUCCAAAAACCUCAUUAGUUUCUCCCCUACUGGCUCUGGUGGGGUAGAGCAGGGGGAGAAAAUAAAUCUUUAUGAAAUAAAACCAAUGUAUGCUCCAUAGCAAAGGCAUCUCCAGGGACAAACAGGCUUUUCCAGAGCCUUAUCCCACCUGGGCAAAGGGCAUUGAUCCCCCUCUACUUUCCUCUAGCCUUCCUGUCUCACCUAACAGGGAGGAAAAAGUGAAGACACAGGCACACCAAACAAGACCUGUGGCCACAGGAACACAGGCCCACCAAAAGGCUGAGAUUUCAUCAUAGGAUUAUAGAAUACUUUCAUUCUGCAUACUAAUAUGCUCCCGUAUAAUGAAAGUAGAUUACAUGGACAAGAAUUGAAUAUAGAGAAGCACAAAACAAAUUUGUUGAAGUGAUGGAAAUGUCUCAUGUCUUAAUUAGGGUGACAAUAUUCUGGGUGUAUAAAUCCAUCAAAACACAUAGAACUGUCAUCUUAAAUCUGUGCAUUUUAUUUUACCUAAAUUAUACCAAAAUAAAAAACAUAUAAUGGGAAAAAAUACAUUAUAGCAGAAAGAGCUAUAAGAUACAGACUCUCUCUGAGCAGGAGUACUUAGGGAAACCCAAAGUCAACAAAGGAGACAGAAACAAGGACGUUAAAGGAAUUUGAAGCCUUUGGCACCUACAGCCACCAUAAACAUUAAAGACAUCCUAGCUCCCAGCCAGAUUAAUAUAAAAGCUUACACUAAAGGGCUAUUUAGAUUAUGUCUGACUUUCAACAACAGAAUGAAUUGGGAAGCAGUUUUUCUUUUUCUGUUCUUUGAGUUUGGUUACAAUUGGUAUUAUUAAUUCUUUACAUAUUUGGCACAAUCCACCAGUGAAGCCACUUGAGUCUAGAGUUUUCUUUAUGGGAAGUCUUUCACUAGUGGAUUCAAUUGUUUUAACAAAUAUAAGACUACUCAAAUUUUCUUACAUUUUUAGUGUCAGUUUGGGUACAUUGUGUAUUUUAAGGAAUUUACUAUUCACUGAAGUGUCAAAUAUAUUAGUAUUAAGUUUUCUUUUAGCAUUAGUAAGAUCUAUAGUUAAUGUUUACUUCUUUAUUUUCAAUAUUAGUAAUGUGUUUCCUCUCAAACAGUUUUACUGGCAUGUUAUUAAUUUUGUUAAACUUUUCAGAUAUCACUUUUGGCUAUUUUGAUGUUUUCUAUUCUAUUUUUUAUUUCACGACAUUUUCCUGGUGUCUUUAUUUUUACUUCCUUCUAUUUCCCUUGGAUUUUAUUUGAUGGUCUUUUUCUAGCUUUUUGAGAUAAAAGCUUAGAUCAUGAAUUUUUGGCUUUUAUUCUUUUCUAAUAUAUGUAAAUAAAACUAUAACUUUUCCUCUAAACUCUAUAGCUGCAUCUCACAAAUUUUC
rnacentral:lncRNA from 10 species